rnacentral:lncRNA from 11 species
GGCCAGGGCUGGACCAGUAUAUUACCUUCAACUGUUUGUUGUUGACAUUUUGAUUUAUUUUCAUCAUCAUCAGGAAGAAACGCAAAAUUCUGCGUGAGCGACGCCGGCAACGAGAGCGUGUUGAGCUUAAGAUGGAUCUUCCUGGAGUCUCCGUUGCCGAUGACGGAGACACGGGGAUGUUCUCUCUCCGGGCCAUUGGCAAAAGUCAGCUAUUACAUGAUGUGACCAAGGGUGAUAUGGCAGCAGCAGACACCUUUGUGGCCACAGAAGGCAAUGCAGAAAAUGACUUCUCGCUUUCAGAAGGUGAAGACUCCGAUGAUGAUGUGUCUUUGGCCAGUGAGCUGGAUGACGAGGAAAUAGCAGAAGUUGAAGAGCGGUCAAGCCAGAUGCAGCGAGCUAAUGUCCAAGACAAGUAUGUGCAGAGUGUUGCCUCAGAAGAGGAAGAAGAGGAGGAGAACGCAGAGGCAGGGAAUCCUUUGUUGAUCUCACUGGAAGGCAAGGAGGAGCAUGAUAAACAUCAGACAAAUCUGUGGUUUGGAAAAGUAAGCAUCUGUAAUUCUUUUCCUCUUCCAUGCAGUGAUGUGACUUCUCUGGAAACCAAAAUUGUAG